GGACUACCAGGGUUUCUAAUCCUGUUUGAUCCCCACGCUUUCGUGUAUGAGUGUCAGUAUAGGACCAGGUCGCCGCCUUCGCCACCGGUGUUCCUCCAGAUAUCUACGUAUUUCACCACUACACCUGGAAUUCCACGACCCUCUUCCAUACUCAAGUUUUGUAGUUUUAAAUGCACUUCUUGGGUUAAGCCCAAGGCUUUCACAUCUAACUUACAAAACCACCUGCACACGCUUUACGCCCAAUGAUUCCGAACAACGCUAGGACCCCCCGUCUUACCGCGGCGGCUGGCAC
rnacentral:rRNA from 1 species